CACGCCGUCAGGCUUCCGUAGUUUCCUGUAGCUCCUCCCCUUCCUCCUCACUUCCUGCUGCCGGCUCUGCUGAGGGGGAGGGGCCUGCUGCUGCUGGAUAGCGAGCUGCUGCGUUCCCGAAUGGACGGGGUUGAUGGCCGCCUGCUGGACCUGAGCGCUCAGGGCAGUGGUCUGCUGGACCGGCCCCACCUGGGGAAGCUGCACGUUCAUGGCUCCCCCCUGCUGCUGCAGCAACAUCUGCAGAGAGGUUGCUUUGUGUCACGCUGCUAACAACAUGGUUGAAAAAGAAGGCUCCACUGUUGGUGAACUAAUACAUAAUGGAUGGUUCUGCUUCUAGGUCAGAUGAAGUUGCACUUUCCAGCUUUGUUCAAGUGCAGGUGUUGUCGGAUACAUGUGAUGAAGACUUGCGGGAACUUCUGGAAGAGGUUGAGGCUGUCCGACUGCGGUCAAACCUCUCCAAGGCCUCCUUCAGGCUGGAUGUGUUCAGCUCUGAACCAGAAUCCUGGCUCUAUGGAAAUAAAGAAUGACAUUUGAAGUCAACUGAUAUGUGCACAGGCAUUUGGGCUUUGGUGCUACAAACUAGACAUCGACUUAUAUGAU